AAAACGCUAUUUUUUUUUUCUUCAGAUUCCUUCUCAUCAAGUCCAUCGCCCCUCACACCACACACCACCACCACCGCCACCACCUCUCCAUCGGCGCACUCAUCGUUAGUAUUAUCGUCGCGGCCACCAAAGCCGGCUCUUUGUUUGUCCGUUUUCUCUUCCUUAGUGAAUUCUUUUGGAUCGCCUGUGCGUUCUCGCCCACUUUUAUGCUCUCUCUGACUCUCUGUGGCGCUCUCCCACACCGCCACGGAGUCCUCCCCCUCCCCCCUCCUCUCUCUGCCAUAUUACUUUAAAGAGAAAAUGGUCGGCGUUCUCGUCAUCAUCGCCUUCAGCAUGGCGGCCUUCUUUGCGUUCAUGUUUACGCGCACGACGAAGGUGGCCAUGGACCCGACGAUGUUCAAGCAUUUUAAGCUGAUCAAGCGCACAGAGGUGACCCAUGACACCUUCAUCUUCCGCUUCGCCCUCGAGAACGAGACGCAGACGCUCGGCCUGCCGAUUGGGCAGCACAUUGUGCUCCGCGCCGACUGCACGACGGCUGGCAAGACGGAGACAGUCACGCACUCCUACACUCCCAUCUCCAGUGACGACGAGAAGGGCUACGUGGACUUCAUGAUCAAGGUGUACUUCGCCGGCGUGCACCCCAGCUUCCCGCAUGGCGGCCGGCUGUCGCAGUACAUGUAUCACAUGAAGCUCGGCGAAAAGAUAGAAAUGCGUGGGCCGCAGGGCAAGUUCAUCUACCUGGGCAACGGCACCUCGCGCAUCCACAAACCGGGCAAGGGCAUCGUCACGGAGAAAGUGGACGCCUAUGCGGCCAUCGCCGGCGGCACUGGCAUCACCCCGAUUCUGCAGAUCAUCCACGCCAUUAAGAAGAACAAGGAGGACCCUACAAAGGUGUUCCUUGUGUAUGGCAACCAGACGGAGCGUGACAUCCUGCUGCGCAAGGAGCUGGACGAGGCGGCCGCCAACGACAGCCGCUUUCACGUAUGGUACACCAUCGACCGCGAGGCCACGCCAGAGUGGAAAUACGAUAUUGGCUACGUCCGCGAGGAGAUGUUCCGCAAGCACCUGCCCGUGCCCGACAUGCUCGGCAGCGACAGCGUGCCGCAGAACGCCGGGAUCAAGAAGGUCAUGGCGCUCAUGUGCGGCCCACCACCGAUGGUCCAGAUGGCGAUCAAGCCGAACCUGGAGCGCAUCGGCUACACCGCCGAUAACAUCUUCAACUUCUAACGGCUCAUGGUACCAACAGGAAGAAGGGCGCUUCAGCUGCCAGCAGCGUCGCUGCUCCCCCUUUCUUCGUGUUGGCGGGUACGAGGGCGCACAAGCACGUGCGAAUGCGAAUGCGAAUGGAAGCAGGCAACUGGUGACUCACGGCAUACGCGUGUGAGCGACGCGCACACAAGCACACACACACACACUGCAGCCCUGCCCAUGCCGAUCCACUUCUGGCAGUGACAGGGUCCAGUGCCUGCGACGCAAAGGAGGUCUGCACGAUACAUCGCUGCGCGUGGUGGCGGUGAGGCCCGUGGAUGGCGUGGCGUCGGAGCAACCUGCGACCGUGAACACGUCUGUGCCAUCCACAUGAUGGGCGAGAUGUCAUCACGACUCGAGCGUGUCCCACCCCCGGCCCUCAUCGUGCCCACCGCUGGUGUGGGGAGGCCCGAGUGCCCCCCCCCCGAUGGGGCGGGUGCACCGCAUGGCGGCCGGCACAAUGGGAGCGGCUGUGAGGCGACCCGCUCAGGGGCGGGUGGGCAGCGUUUGGGGCUGGGGCCGUGCGCCGAUGACGGAGUCGGCGCACUGCUCUACCGGCGUGUGCUUCGGCUGCUGCUGCUGCUGCUGCUUCGCACCACGCAGUCGGGGGGUGGGGGGCUUUUAUGAGGGCAGAGCGGAGGGUAAGGGGUUUGGUGUAUCCGGAGAACCGGACGCGCUGUGAAGGAAAGGGCCCGGCGGUUUUAGACUUCUGGUUCGUGCAUGUGGUCUUAAGUGUGCCUUGUCGUGUUGCACGCAUCUCCCUGGUCACGCUUGCGGAUCUCCCGGUCUAUCCUUGGGCGCCCCCCCCCCUUCAUUCCGUCUGUCCGGCUCGUCGUCGUCGCCUGGUCAGCUGUGCGUGACUUCUCUCCCGUCUCCGUCGCUCUCUGUCGCUCGCUCGCCCUCUUGCUAUUAGUUGGAGCGGGGCCCUUUUUUUUUCUCUGCCCCGCUGUCUUUGAAGCACCUCUGUAGGCGUGGUGGUGGAUGCGGGUGUGUGUCGUGUGGUGGCGGUGGCGGUGAUGACGUCGAAACGCCUUGCCGCCUCCAAGUGCUGCCCGAUUUCAUGUCGCAGAUGAACCCUCGCGCACCGGGAACUUUCUUUUCGUGUUGUUGCAUGUGUGUGUGUGUGUGUGUGCGUCUUCAGUGACGAUGCAGAUGAGGAGAAUGUUUGGCGUUCACCGCGCCACCGCGUUUGCACGUGACGGUGUCAGCAUGCUCGUGGCUGUUGGCCCCGUGAGAGUACGAGGCGAGAAAAGGAGGCGGCAGGAGCGGGCCCCUGAUGCAUAUCUGACUUUCAUCCACGCACGCUCCGCCCUCGCGGCCUGCCCCUUCCAUGGAGACAGGGGGCUCGGACGCAGAUGAGGAAGACGGGAGGCACACACAAAUGUGAAGGAGAAAUCGAU
rnacentral:misc_RNA from 1 species